CCGAAUGGGGAAACCCAGUGUGAUUCGUCACACUAUCAUUAACUGAAUCCAUAGGUUAAUGAGGCGAACCGGGGGAACUGAAACAUCUAAGUACCCCGAGGAAAAGAAAUCAACCGAGAUUCCCCCAGUAGCGGCGAGCGAACGGGGAGGAGCCCAGAGCCUGAAUCAGCAUGUGUGUUAGUGGAAGCGUCUGGAAAGGCGCGCGAUACAGGGUGACAGCCCCGUACACAAAAGCGCAUGUGCUGUGAGCUCGAUGAGUAGGGCGGGACACGUGGUAUCCUGUCUGAAUAUGGGGGGACCAUCCUCCAAGGCUAAAUACUCCUGACUGACCGAUAGUGAACCAGUACCGUGAGGGAAAGGCGAAAAGA
rnacentral:rRNA from 1 species